CUGUUGGCGACCGGCGCACGGGUGAGUAACGCGUAUGCAACCUACCUACUACAGGGGAAUAACCCGGAGAAAUUCGGACUAACACCGCAUAAUACAGGGGUCCCGCAUGGGAAUAUUUGUUAAAGAUUUAUCGGUAGUAGAUGGGCAUGCGUUCCAUUAGCCAGUUGGUGAGGUAACGGCUCACCAAAGCAACGAUGGAUAGGGGAACUGAGAGGUUUAUCCCCCACACUGGAACUGAGACACGGACCAG
rnacentral:rRNA from 1 species